rnacentral:misc_RNA from 1 species
AAGUCGUAACAAGGUCUCCGUUGGUGAACCAGCGGAGGGAUCAUUACCGAGUUUUCCAAACUCCCAACCCAUGUGAACAUACCUUCUGUUGCCUCGGCAGGGCCGGCCCCGGGGGAGACCCCCCCGGGCGCAGCGGCCUGCCGGCGGACCACAACGCAACUCUUGUUUGUACAGUGUCUUCUGAGUACCAAAACAUAAUAGUUAAAACUUUCAACAACGGAUCUCUUGGUUCUG